ACGUGGGGUAACUGAACCUUCUGCCGUUUCCAUCGUACCUGUGGCUGAUGUCUGUUCUGUCCUCAUUGUCGUCAUGGCUUUUGCAAUCGUCGUCGUCGUUGUCCACAGACACAGGAUCAAGAAAGGAGGUAAAGUGUACAGGGCUGGUGACCGCAGUAUGGCUGACAACGAAGCACAAUUUCAACAAGAUCCCAGUGACCUGUAUGCCAAGGUGAACAAAAAGAGGAGGCGCAGAAGAGAAGUGUCUGAUGUUUAUGCCACGGUCCAGAAGGUUCA